AUUGAACGCUGGCGGCAGGCCUAACACAUGCAAGUCGAACGGAGUGGCGGACGGGUGAGUAACGCGUAAUCAACCUGCCCUUCAGAGGGGGACAACAGUUGGAAACGACUGCUAAUACCGCAUACUGAAGGAGGGGAUUGCGUCUGAUUAGCUAGUUGGAGGGGUAACGGCCCACCAAGGCGAUGAUCAGUAGCCGGUCUGAGAGGAUGAACGGCCACAUUGGGACUGAGACACGGCCCAGACUCCUACGGGAGGCAGCAGUGGGGAAUAUUGGACAAUGGGCGAAAGCCUGAUCCAGCCAUGCCGCGUGUGUGAAGAAGGUCUUCGGAUUGUAAAGCACUUUAAGUUGGGAGGCGUUACCAACAGAAUAAGCACCGGCUAACUUCGUGCCAGCAGCCGCGGUAAUAC
rnacentral:rRNA from 1 species